GGGCCCGCACAAGCAGUGGAGUAUGUGGUUUAAUUCGAAGCAACGCGAAGAACCUUACCAGGGCUUGACAUCCUCGGACGACACUAGAGAUAGUGUUUUCUCUUCGGAGACUGAGAGACAGGUGGUGCAUGGUUGUCGUCAGCUCGUGUCGUGAGAUGUUCGGUUAAGUCCGGCAACGAGCGCAACCCUUAUUGUUAGUUGCCAUCAUUUAGUUGGGCACUCUAGCGAGACUGCCGUUGACAAAACGGAGGAAGGUGGGG
rnacentral:rRNA from 1 species